UACGUAGGGUCCGAGCGUUGUCCGGAAUUACUGGGCGUAAAGAGCUCGUAGGUGGUUUGUCGCGUUGUUCGUGAAAACUCACAGCUCAACUGUGGGCGUGCGGGCGAUACGGGCAGACUAGAGUACUGCAGGGGAGACUGGAAUUCCUGGUGUAGCGGUGGAAUGCGCAGAUAUCAGGAGGAACACCGGUGGCGAAGGCGGGUCUCUGGGACGGUACUGACGCUGAGGCGCGAAAGCGUGGGGAGCAAACAGG
rnacentral:rRNA from 1 species